UGCUGAUAAAGACAUUGAUGAAGAAUUAAGAUCCAAUGCUCGUGAUGGGAUUAGCAAAGAAAAUCUGUUGAGGAAUAGAGAAACUGAUCAGGAGUAGCAGAACCUUAUACCCAUACUGCAAAAUAAGAUGGACAAAAUACAACCUCAAGUUGAAUGCAGCAUUCAAUCAACUGAUUCGGAAAGCCCUUUACAAGCAAUCAAGCCUUUCUUCUGGUGCAAAAGCAUGAAUCAGAAAGACAAAAAAACAACCACCCAAGAAAUGAAAAGCACCAACUUCUACCUGACUGAGCUCCAGCAUACUCAUCCUUUCCACGCUCUUGGAAACACGUGUCCCGUCGUUAUUCAGAAUGAUGCUAUCCUCAAGUAUGAGAAGGAUGGCAAUGGCAGCCAUGGGGAUUUUUUUUCCUAUUGUUUUUAGCUUACAACUAUCACUUUGAAAUAGAAGAUGCUGUUCCAGCACUGCUGAUCUUCUUAAGGGUGUUAAUUCCAGGAGAAUAAUUAAAUUUAUUCCCAGUCAUAUUUUUCUAAGUGUCAGUAUAUUCCAUGAAACCUACUUCUAA